GAAAUGCGAUAAGUAAUGUGAAUUGCAGAAUUCAGUGAAUCAUCGAAUCUUUGAACGCACCUUGCACCUCUUGGUAUUCCGAGGGGUACGCCUGUUUGAGUGUCGUGAACUCCUCCACCUCUGGUUUUCCAAAGGCUGGGAUUUGGGUGUUGCGGGUCCCUGGCAGACCCGCUCGCCUUAAAUGAAUUAGCGAAGCCCUUGCGGCCUAGGCGGUGAUAAUUAUCUACGCUUUUGGCUUAGCGACUUUGAAGGGACUUGCUUACAACCGUUCGCCUACGAACAAAUCAUACGACUUGACCUCAGAUCAGGUGGGACUACCCGCUGAACUUAAGCAUAUCAAUAAGCGGAGGAAAAAGAAACUAACAAGGAUUCCCCUAGU
rnacentral:rRNA from 1 species